AUGAAGGACAAAUGCAAACUAUGGACAAUAGGGUGGCCUCAUUUUGCCUUAUCGACCCAAGGAAAUUUCAAAUACAGGUCUGGAUAUACCGAUUUUUUGGGUGCUAAGAUCCAAGGUUGAGAGGAAAAACCCAAAUCGUACGGUAAGGUCUCUAAGCAAUCACUUAGUGAAAAAGAAAGUGAUUAAAUAAUGACUAUCGGGAGUGUAUAAAAGACAAUAUUUGAUUGUCCAUAACACUUGAUAAGUAUAAAAGAUAACAUUUGAUGCAUUCAAACGUAGAAUCUAGAUGCAUGGUUAUGAAUGGAGAAAGAAAGCUCUCCAGAAAAAAGAAAAAUAGAUUAAUGGAUGCUACUUUGAGAUAGUGAAUUUUUUAAUCUGUUGGAAUAACUUUUACAAUAUCUUUUAUUGAUUAAGGAAAAAAUAUAUAUUUGAAUAGACCU
rnacentral:lncRNA from 1 species